UACGUAGGGCGCAAGCGUUGUCCGGAAUUAUUGGGCGUAAAGAGCUCGUAGGCGGUGUGUCACGUCAGCCGUGAAAACCUGCAGCUUAACUGUGGGCGUGCGGUCGAUACGGGCACCACUGGAGUUCGGCAGGGGAGACUGGAAUUCCUGGUGUAGCGGUGAAAUGCGCAGAUAUCAGGAGGAACACCGGUGGCGAAGGCGGUUCUCUGGGCCUUACCUGACACUGAGGAGCGAAAGCGUGGGGAGCGAACAGG
rnacentral:rRNA from 1 species